CGGGAUCCGUCCCGCCGGGAUGUGGACGUUCCUGAUGGAACGUUUGAACCACGAA
rnacentral:ncRNA from 1 species